GGAUGAUUAAAUGGAAGUUUCCUUCAGUACCUCUUACAUAGCAUUGAUGAUACAAGCUUAUGUUUUCAAGAUUUUUAAGGUGUAUAGUUUCUGAGUUUGGGCUUAAAGAUAAAGAUGUGCUGAAGAUUAUAAAUUUCUGGUGAGUUGUUCAUCUUCCAAUGUCACUGCUCCAUUACAUGUUCAGUUACCAGUUAUAAGAAGGGUGGAUUGAAUGAAUGCUGAUAGGGCUUUGUAGGACUUCUCAUGUAUUCUGUAUAUUGUACAUCUUAGGAGUGUUCAAGUGGAAACUUUGCAAUUUAACUGUGAUAUUGGUACUUAUCAAGUGUCAACUUGAAUUAUCUUUAUACUUAUCAUCUUUAUUGGAGCA